GACGAACGCUGGCGGCGUGCUUAACACAUGCAAGUCGUACGGUAAGGCCCUUUCGGGGGUACACGAGUGGCGAACGGGUGAGUAACACGUGAGUAACCUGCCCACAACUUUGGGAUAACGCUAGGAAACUGGUGCUAAUACUGGAUAUGUGCUCCUGCUGCAUGGUGGGGGUUGGAAAGCUCCGGUGGUUGUGGAUGGACUCGCGGCCUAUCAGCUUGUUGGUGGGGUAGUGGCCUAGCAAGGCGGCGACGGGUAGCCGGCCUGAGAGGGUGACCGGCCACAUUGGGACUGAGAUACGGCCCAGACUCCUACGGGAGGCAGCAGUGGGGAAUAUUGCACAAUGGGCGCAAGCCUGAUGCAGCAACGCCGCGUGCGGGAUGACGGCCUUCGGGUUGUAAACCGCUUUCAGCAGGGACGAAGCUUUUUGUGACGGUACCUGCAGAAGAAGCACCGGCUAACUACGUG
rnacentral:rRNA from 1 species